AAAUUCCCUUGGCAGGGGAGAUGCCAUGAUCACAAAGGCGAUUUUCCUAGGGCAAGGCUUAUCCAUUGUACUCUGGAUGUGCUGACCCCUGUGAUUUCCCCAAGUAUGGGAAAUGUAAUUGCAUAAUUUGUGGUAGUGGGGGACUGUGUCAUGCUCUCCCCUG
rnacentral:snRNA from 1 species